rnacentral:rRNA from 1 species
AGAGUUUGAUCCUGGCUCAGGAUGAACGCUAGCGGCAGGCUUAAUACAUGCAAGUCGAGGGGCAACAGGGGUAGUGAUACCUGCUGGCGACCGGCAAACGGGUGCGCAACACGUACAGAACCUUCCUUUAAGCGGGGGGAUAGCCCAUAGAAAUGUGGAUUAAUACCCCAUGGUAUUAUUGUCUGGCAUCAGGUAAUAAUUAAAGAUUUAUCACUUAGAGAUGGCUGUGCGUCUGAUUAGGUAGUUGGUGAGGGUAACGGCCUACCGAGCCUUCGAUCAGUAACUGGUGUGAGAGCACGACCAGUCACACGGGCACUGAGACACGGGCCCGACUCCUACGGGAGGCAGCAGUAAGGAAUAUUGGUCAAUGGAGGCAACUCUGAACCAGCCAUGCCGCGUGAAGGAUGAAGGUCCUCUGGAUUGUAAACUUCUUUUAUGUGGGAAGAAAUGUCCGGAUUAUUCUGGAUUUGACGGUACCAUAGGAAUAAGCACCGGCUAACUCCGUGCCAGCAGCCGCGGUAAUACGGAGGGUGCGAGCGUUAUCCGGAUUCACUGGGUUUAAAGGGUGCGUAGGUGGGUUUGUAAGUCAGUGGUGAAAUCUCCGUGCUUAACAUGGAAACUGCCAUUGAUACUACAGGUCUUGAAUUUUCCGGAGGUUAGCGGAAUAUGUCAUGUAGCGGUGAAAUGCUUAGAUAUGACAUAGAACACCAAUUGCGAAGGCAGCUAACUACAGGGAUAUUGACACUGAGGCACGAAAGCGUGGGGAUCAAACAGGAUUAGAUACCCUAGUAGUCC